UAACAACAACUCUCGGCAACGGAUAUCUCGGCUCUCCCAUCGAUAAAACGUACUCGAGUCUUUGAACGCAAGUUGCGCCCGAAGCCAUCCGGUCGAGGGCACGUCUGCCUGGGCGUCACACACC
rnacentral:rRNA from 1 species